UUCUGUGGCUUAGUUGGUUAAAGCGUCAGUCUAGCGAAUACGGAGUCGUGGGAUCGAAUCCCACUAGAA
rnacentral:tRNA from 1 species